GCCCCUCAUCUUUCUGUCUUUUUUCUUCCCUUCUUCCUUCCUUCCUUCCUUCCUUCCUUCCUUCCUUCCUUCCUUCCUUCCUUCCUUCCUUCCUUCCCUCCCUCACUCCUUCCUUCCUUCCUUUCUUUCUCUCUUUCUCUCUCUCUUUCUCUCUCUCUCUCUCUCUCUUUCUUUCUUUCUUUCUUUCUUUCUUUCUUUCUUUCUUUCUUUCUUUCUUUCUUUCUUUCUUUCUUUCUUUCUUUCUUUCUUUCUUUCNAUGAAAGAGCUGGUCAGGGUGGGAAGCCAGCUCUAGGAUUGCCAGGUACCAUUCCCUCCCUCAUCCAGCUCCAGAGCAAGGGUGCUGUGCCCCUGUAAUCAAGAGAAGGGCUGGAAAGUCCCCUGGCGUGCCCUGCUCACCUGAGAGCCCCAUAUCAGGGGGAACCAUUCCCCUCAUUCUUAUUGUUGUCAGGAUUACUAGAAAGUCCUGCUCACGGCUCCAAGAGAACCAGAAAUUGGGGAUCCCCCAGUAGUAAACUGUCUCUCUGGUUAGAGCCCCAUCUGAAUAACCCAGCCUCUGUUCCACUGCUGGCAUGAUCGAUUUAGAGCUGGUAGGGGCUCUCUCGCCUUAUAAGGACUCAGUGUGAUGCAAUGGAAGGAAUGUCUGAGCAUUCAAUCAUUGAGAACACUCUUCGGAUUCAUCAAAUAACUAAAAAAAGCUUCGAAACUGAACUGAGCCGAUUUCUUAAAUGAACAACUAAACUUUGCUUCAAAAUAGAAGCUUAAAAUGGGAGGCAAAAUACGAUUUUUUUCUUCUGGAAGUGAUUCUUCCCAAUUUAUCCCUUUAACCCAGGUGAUGGAACUGCCCUAACCGGGAAAAGGGGUGAGGUACCAACAGCCAGCCAGCCUUUUGUUAGUGGGGCUCAUUGAGCUGGGAGCAGCUGGGGACUUGCUAGACUGGAGGCUUUGGGGAAAUCUGGGGAUAGAACACACAGCUUGAAGUCAGCUAGAACGUAGAUGGACAGACGUAUAAAUACAGAGAGAUCAAUGAGGCAGGUGGCUUAAGCUCUUUCAGCCUCAGUUUCCUCAUCUAUAAAACUGGAAUAAUAAUAGCAUUUACCUCCCAGUGCUAUUGGGAAGAUCAGAUUAAAGCAACAAGUUUAAAAUAUUCUGAAAAUCUUAAAGAGAAAAGGACUUAACCUGUCUCAGUGGCCUAGGGAACUCCCAGAUGAGGAUAUCC
rnacentral:lncRNA from 1 species